UUCAGCACAUACUGUUGCUGAACCUAGACCUGCAGACCAACUGCAGCAUCAACCAACCCCACAUGAUUUACUUACUUAAAUCCAGACCUUUUUUUGGCCAGGCAGUGUAUAUUAUACAGACUUACAGUAUUUUGACAUUACCUGGCAUGAAAACGUCUAGAUAAUGUCCUAUACAACUUACAACUGAAAAAAAAAAUAAAAUAAAAUAAAAUACUUUUGUAUAGUAAAUAAAAUGUCUAUAUGGUUCAUAUCACCUCUGUUAUCACUAUAAUCACUAUAAUGUUUCUCUCCAAUUUAUUAUUUCACACCAAAUCAGUUUGAAUGAUCUUAUUGAAUUUAUAAUGAUUUUAUACAAUGUUCACAAUAAGCAUAAACUUAAAACAUUUUUUCUUUGCUAUGACAAUUAUUAUUAGUGGAACCUUAUCUGAGAACAUGUGAUAGAUAUGCAGAUAUGUGUAGCAUCCUCUCUCUGCUCAGGACCAGUCAACACUUCAGUACUGGUUUGGAAAGGCAUCAUCUGUCAUCUUCUGUAAUUUGCUAGUGCUUUUGAGAUGUAAAGAGUCAUAUGUGCACGUUAUAUUUACGGUAGAAGCUCUUAGAAAGUUUGGGACUAAUUUAUUAUUAUUAUUGUUUGUUUUUUUUGUAAAUUAAUGGCACAAGCAUUUCCCCUUUUAAUAAACUGCAUACCAGCAACCCACUGCAUUAUAUUGUAGCUCAUCUCUGUGCCAUAAGGUUUGUAUUAAAAGGCCAAUCAUUAUGUAAUGAUAUAAUCGCUGAAGUUCUUGUCUGUGCCGUUUGUAAAUAGCCUCUCUCUUUAACCAUAAACGGUUAAAUUAUGAGGUCACACUGGCUUUGUGACUAUGGUUUGUGGUCAAGUUGUAAAUAUUACUGUCAGUCCACAGCUGGAACAAGAAAAAGAAAAAAAAAAACAUCUUUUUUUAUGGAAAAUGUGACUCACAUCAGCAAAGACAGGAAAUGUGAAAACUACUCAGAGUUGUUUGUUCAUUUUUUUUUUCUUAAACUGUGUGUUUUAUCUGUGUCAUAUGAGCAUAUACAGUAUGUUACUGAUAAUCUUUCUUUUUUAUAAUUAAACUGUUGACAUCAGCAACAAUCUGG